rfam:Firmicutes bacterium CAG:110 genomic scaffold, scf109
AACAGAGUAGGAGACCUCGCGUUAAGUGCCAUCGGGACGGGGAGUUUGCCCGGCGGACGAAGGAAUGUUCCACGAUGGGGUCACCGCACCCGCUGUU